CACAAUUAAUUCUCAAAGACAAAAGCUGGAGCACGAGGAAGUUGGUUUUUUUCUUGGAAUCCCAGCAAAUUAUUAUGGAGAUUAGAGACUGGACGCAGAAGGAGGAUAUGCCCUCGUCGGUGUAAUGACACUGGUCAGAGAAGGACAUGUUUUUCCAAACUCAGCUGCUAACUACCCAUUCCCGUGCUACAGGGAGCACAUUGUGAUUCUUUUGAGCAAGGUUUCUCCAAGUUUGAGAUAUCUAAGAAGACUCGUCGAUUUUUCAGUUCGUUCAGCUUUUUGCUCGUUGUUAGGACAGAGAUGACUUCUAAGUGCCUUACAUGGGGACUGAAUGUAUAUGAUCCUUUCAAGAUUGACAACAAGACAAAGAUAUCUGCGGCCAUUGCCUCUAUUCAAC
rnacentral:lncRNA from 1 species